UACGUAGGGGGCGAGCGUUGUCCGGAGUUACUGGGCGUAAAGGGCGUGCAGGCGGUGCGGUAAGUUUAGCGUGACAGUCUCCGGCUUAACUGGAGAAGGCCGCUGAAAACUGCUGGACUUGAGGGCCAGAGAGGGACAUAGAAUUCCGGGUGGAGUGGUGAAAUGCGUAGAUAUCCGGAGGAAUACCAAAGGCGAAGGCAGUGUCCUGGCUGGCAACUGACGCUGAGGCGCGAAAGCUAGGGGGGCGAACAGG
rnacentral:rRNA from 1 species